rnacentral:rRNA from 1 species
GAUGAACGCUGGCGGCGUGCUUAACACAUGUAAGUCGAACGAGGUCCAACCUUCGGGUGAAGACCUAGUGGCGAACGGGUGAGUAACACGUGGGCAAUCUGCCCUCCACUCUGGGAUAACCCCCGGAAACGGGAGCUAAUACCGGAUACUUCGGAAUGGUCGCAUGGCCGAUCCGAGAAAGCUCCGGCGGUGGAGGAUGAGCCCGCGGCCCAUUAGCUUGUUGGCGGGGUAAUGGCCCACCAAGGCGACGAUGGGUAGCCGAGCUGAGAGGCUGAGCGGCCACACUGGGACUGAGACACGGCCCAGACUCCUACGGGAGGCAGCAGUGGGGAAUCUUGCGCAAUGGACGAAAGUCUGACGGAGCAACGCCGCGUAAGCGAAGAAGGCCUUCGGGUCGUAAAGCUCUGUUGUCAGGGAAGAACAAGUACCGGAGUAACUGCCGGUACCUUGACGGUACCUGACCAGAAAGCCACGGCUAACUACGUGCCAGCCGCCGCUGUAAAAC